GAGUGGCGAACGGGUGAGUAACACGUGGGUGAUCUGCCCUGCACUUUGGGAUAAGCCUGGGAAACUGGGUCUAAUACCGGAUAGGACUACGGCCUGCAUGGGUUGUGGUGGAAAGCUUUUGCGGUGUGGGAUGGGCCCGCGGCCUAUCAGCUUGUUGGUGGGGUGAUGGCCUACCAAGGCGACGACGGGUAGCCGGCCUGAGAGGGUGUCCGGCCACACUGGGACUGAGAUACGGCCCAGACUCCUACGGGAGGCAGCAGUGGGGAAUAUUGCACAAUGGGCGCAAGCCUGAUGCAGCGACGCCGCGUGGGGGAUGACGGCCUUCGGGUUGUAAACCUCUUUCAGCUCCGACGAAGCGCAAGUGACGGUAGGAGCAGAAGAAGCACCGGCCAACUACGUGCCAGCAGCCGCGGUAAUACGUAGGGUGCGAGCGUUGUCCGGAAUUACUGGGCGUAAAGAGCUCGUAGGUGGUUUGUCGCGUUGUUCGUGAAAACUCACAGCUUAACUGUGGGCGUGCGGGCGAUACGGGCAGACUGGAGUACUGCAGGGGAGACUGGAAUUCCUGGUGUAGCGGUGGAAUGCGCAGAUAUCAGGAGGAACACCGGUGGCGAAGGCGGGUCUCUGGGCAGUAAC
rnacentral:rRNA from 1 species